GACGAACGCUGGCGGCGUGCUUAACACAUGCAAGUCGAACGGAAAGGCCCUGCUUUUGUGGGGUGCUCGAGUGGCGAACGGGUGAGUAACACGUGAGUAACCUGCCCUUGACUUUGGGAUAACUUCAGGAAACUGGGGCUAAUACCGGAUAGGAGCUCCUGCUGCAUGGUGGGGGUUGGAAAGUUUCGGCGGUUGGGGAUGGACUCGCGGCUUAUCAGCUUGUUGGUGGGGUAGUGGCUUACCAAGGCUUUGACGGGUAGCCGGCCUGAGAGGGUGACCGGCCACAUGGGGACUGAGAUACGGCCCAGACUCGUACGGGAGGCAGCAGUGGGGAAUAUUGCACAAUGGGCGGAAGCCUGAUGCAGAAACGCCGCGGGCGGGAUGACGGCCUUCGGGUUGUAAACCGCUUUCGCCUGUGACGAAGCGUGAGUGACGGUAAUGGGUAAAGAAGCACCGGCUAACUACGUG
rnacentral:rRNA from 1 species